AGCAGCGUGUGCAAUAUCCAUCAAAUGUUGAUAUCUUCUUUUCUUUCUUGAAGAUUCCCUAAUUACUUGAGUCUCUGCACGUAACUCAAUGUUUGGGUCCUUUAACAUUCGUUCCUUUUCCUUUUGAAGCUCAAUAACUUUCUCUUUGUUGACAGCAUAUGUUUUGUCUUUGCUGAGAUAUUGUAAGUUCUCAAGAAGGUUGUCCAUGCUUUGCAAUUUCCGGUAUGGCCAUCGUUUAAUUCCCAAUUUUGUACACAUUCUCUUCAACUUAUCUUCACUUACAUUGAGCUCCCUUGCUGCUUGGGCUGCGGGUACAACUGGAGGCGCCUCAAGUGAAACAUCGUUCUGGCCACAUAGCAUGUCAUUCACAAGACCCCAGUCGAAAUCUAAUUGUUCGGCGGAGCAACAACUUUGUUGAAUUUGGUGUAAAGUUUUACCUGUUGGAGAUGAAGUUGGAUUAUUGAAGUGAUAAUCCAAGGGGUGGUUUUCAGCAUGAUUAAAAAAAGGACGGUAAUCUUGUUCAGGAGAAGAAAUAGGAAUUUCUUUAUCAUCCUCAUCCUCUAACUUCAAGAGUUUUAUUCGAGGCCAUCGGGAAAUUCCUAAUAUCCUGCACCUAUUCUUUAAUGUUGUGACACCAACCUUUAAUUGUACCGCUGCUUCACUAAUCGGAAGAUGGAAAUAACUUGAGAUCAUUUCCUUAGUGAUCGUUCUUGAAUCA